UGCCUCAGUAACGGCGAGUGAAGCGGCAACAGCUCAAAUUUGAAAUCUGGCCUCUUCGGGGUCCGAGUUGUAAUUUGUAGAGGAUGUUUCGGGUACCGCCUCGGUUUAAAUUUCUUGGAACAGAAUGUCAGAGAGGGUGAGAAUCCCGUCUUGGACCGGCGGUAGGGCCCAUGUGAAACUCCUUCGACGAGUCGAGUUGUUUGGGAAUGCAGCUCAAAAUGGGUGGUAAAUUUCAUCUAAAGCUAAAUAUUGGCCAGAGACCGAUAGCGCACAAGUAGAGUGAUCGAAAGAUGAAAAGAACUUUGAAAAGAGAGUUAAACAGUAUGUGAAAUUGUUGAAAGGGAAGCGCUUACAACCAGACUUGAGCGCGGCGGUUCCCCCUUCCUUUUGGUUGGGUUACUCCGCCGUGUCCAGGCCAACAUCGGUUCUGGGGGUCGGUUAAAGGCCUGGGGAAUGUAUCUACUCCUUCGGGGGUAGACUUAUAGCCCCGGGUGUCAUGCGACCACCCGGGACCGAGGAACGCGCUUCGGCUCGGAUGUUGGCGUAAUGGUUGUCAGCGACCCGUCUUGAAACACGGACCAAGGAGUCUAACAUCUAUGCGAGUGUUUGGGUGUCAAACCCGGAACGCGAAAUGAAAGUGAACGGAGGUAGGAAGCCUUUAGGCUGCACUAUCGACCGAUCCUGAUGUCUUCGGAUGGAUUUGAGUAAGAGCAUAGCUGUUGGGACCCGAAAGAUGGUGAACUAUGCCUGAAUAGGGUGAAGCCAGAGGAAACUCUGGUGGAGGCUCGCAGCGGUUCUGACGUGCAAAUCGAUCGUCAAAUUUGGGUAUAGGGGCGAAAGACUAAUCGAACCAUCUGGUAGCUGGUUCCUGCCGAAGUUUCCCUCAGGAUAGCAGUAACGAAAUCAGUUUUAUGAGGUAAAGCGAAUGAUUAGAGGCCUUGGGGUUGAAACAACCUUAACCUAUUCUCAAACUUUAAAUAUGUAAGAAGCCCUUGUUGCUUAAUUGAACGUGGGCAUUUGAAUGUAUCGUUACUAGUGGGCCAUUUUUGGUAAGCAGAACUGGCGAUGCGGGAUGAACCGAACGUGAGGUUAAGGUGCCGGAAUGCACGCUCAUCAGACACCACAAAAGGUGUCAAUGCAUCUAGACAGCCGGACGGUGGCCAUGGAAGUCGGAAUCCGCUUAGGAGUGUGUAACAACUCACCGGCCGAAUGCAUUGGCCCUGAAAAUGGAUGGCGCUUAAGCGUGCUACCUAUACCUCGCCGUUAGGGUUGACAUGAUGCCCUAACGAGUAGGCAGGCGUGGAGGUCCGUGACGAAGCC
rnacentral:rRNA from 1 species